rnacentral:rRNA from 1 species
CCUACGGGCGGCACCAGUAGGGAAUCUUCGGCAAUGGACGAAAGUCUGACCGAGCAACGCCGCGUGAGUGAAGAAGGUUUUCGGAUCGUAAAACUCUGUUGUUAGAGAAGAACAAGGACGUUAGUAACUGAACGUCCCCUGGCGGUAUCUAACCAGAAAGCCACGGCUAACUACGUGCCAGCAGCCGCGGUAAUACGUAGGUGGCAAGCGCUGUCCGGAUUUAUUGGGCGUAAAGCGAGCGCAGGCGGUUUCUUAAGUCUGAUGUGAAAGCCCCCGGCUCAACCGGGGAGGGUCAUUGGAAACUGGGAGACUUGAGUGCAGAAGAGGAGAGUGGAAUUCCAUGUGUAGCGGUGAAAUGCGUAGAUAUAUGGAGGAACACCAGUGGCGAAGGCGGCUCUCUGGUCUGUAACUGACGCUGAGGCUCGAAAGCGUGGGGAGCAAACAGGAUUAGAUACCCUCGUAGUC